GUGAGGAAUUUUCCGCAAUGGGCGAAAGCCUGACGGAGCAAUGCCGCGUGAAGGAUGAAGGCCUAUGGGUUGUAAACUUCUUUUCUCAGAAAAGAAUUAUGACGGUAUCUGAGGAAUAAGCAUCGGCUAACUCUGUGCCAGCAGCCGCGGUAAGACAGAGGAUGCAAGCGUUAUCCGGAAUGAUUGGGCGUAAAGCGUCUGUAGGUUGUUUAAAAAGUAUUCUGUCAAAGAUUAGGGCUUAACCCUAGAUAGGCAGAAUAAACUUUUAAGGUAGAGUUUGGUAGAGGCAGAGGGAAUUCCCGGUGGAGCGGUGAAAUGCGUAGAUAUCGGGAUGAACACCAAAGGCGAAGGCACUCUGCUGGGCCAAUACUAACACUGAGAGACGAAAGCGAGGGGAGCAAAUGGGAUUAGAAACCCGAGUAGUCC
rnacentral:rRNA from 1 species